AGUCAGCAAAAGGUUUGUGCUCCCUUCCCCACUGUAGCCCGAGGGAAGGGUUAAGAGGAGGGACAGGGCCUAUUUGUGCUCCCUGCCCCACAGUAGCUGGAGGGAAGGGUUAAGGGGGGAGGGACAGGGUGCAAUAAGUCGGGGAGGAGUAAGAAUGCAGGACUGAAUGGACUUGGCUCACCUGGGUCAUCUGUAGUCUGCCCCAGCUUUUCUGGGCAAAGUUCCAGUUUUACCACAGAUUUUUAAUCUUAGACCUUAGUUCUAACAUUCACUCUCUCUCCAGUUGGGACUCAUUGAUGCAGACCCUUGGAGACCCAAGGCACUCAUGGUAGAAAACUAUGACGAUGAAUCUUGAAAGCCACAGGUACAAUUGUAGCCAGAGUCCUGUAUUCAAGUUCGAAUAUCAGCUUGCCGUGUUUCUCUGCUUCCUUCUCUAUAAAAUGGGAGGGGCGUUCUAAAUAAGUGCUAACAUUCCAUCCAGAACCUAUGCUCUAUUCCCAGACCAUCCAUGACCCUGGCCCCGGGGCUGUCAGGGAAAAUCCCUGUGCAGGUGAGAGGGCAAGGAGGGAAAAAGAAUUACAUUUAAAAUGUCAAAGAAAUCACAAAGAACAUGUUUUAUGAAGACGACCAGGAGCCAGGAAAAUCGUAAUAUUUAAAUCAGUGUGUUGCCCAUCACCUUGCUAACAGUGUUCUUUGUAGCUUCGGGCCAGACACACUUUUUCCUCAUGUGUCAGCCGUUCUGAUUCAAUUCUUUGGGAGAGCGGAUAGUUGCCUCUCUGGAUGUGUUUGAAGUGCGCUUUUCUGAGCUAUUGAUAGUAAAAAGCUCCUUGCAGCUUUCACGAUUCACGUUGGUAAUAUCCUUUGCAUUCUGAGGGCUGUAGUUAAACCUAGAGGAUCUUUUAUGAAGGUUUCUUUCAUAUGUGAGCUGUAAGAGCUAGAAGAAGUAUUCCAUAAAAAUGUGUUGGCUUCAUGGACUGUAAUCUUCUCCUGGACUCGUUUCAGUGUCGAGCCCCUGGUCCACAUCCCUAUGUGAUAUCCCUUCUGUGCCUGCAGAGAAGGGCAUCAUGGGAGCUGGCAGAGUGGGCUCUCAUGCCCUUCCCAUCCCAGCAUCUCCUCAGCUGGAUCCCCCAAAUGCCCACCCCCAGUUCAGGACUGCCUUCUGUGAGGAAAGCAUGAUGAUCAGACAGCAAGUGGGAAGAGAAUGAUACCAACUGUCUCUCAACACAUGUAUGUGUCUAUAUUAUACAUGUGGUGUAUAUAUGCAUGUAUUUUCCACAGGAGAACUGUGAUGUGUUCCAUGGACCAAACUGCACUACUCUUAAAACCCAUGUUUUCAAGCCCUAACCUAAUUAAUGGCGUUUGGAGAUGGGGUUCCUUAUGAGUGCCUGGGACUAGAUGAGGUCACCAGUACAGGGCUCCCAAUGGCAUCAGAAGAGGAAGAGAGAGAAGGGCUAUCCCUCCACAGUGUGAGGACAGUGACAAAAUGGCCAUCUGGGAGGCAGGAAGAGUGCUAACUAAUAGCUACUUGUCUUGCCGCUGAGACAAAAUAUUCUGACAAGAGUUCCUUAGAGAAGAGAGGGUUUUAUUUGGCUCGUAGCUCUAGGGUACAGUCCAUCAUGUCAGGGAAGGGAGAAGGGGGUCAUAUUCAUCAGCUCUCAAGGGACGCUGGGCCUGAGCUAGCUUUCUCCACACAUGCAGCCCUGCGCUGCACCCCUGGUCCCAGGAAAUGGCACCACCCAAAUUUGGGAUGGGUCUUCCUCUGUCAGUUAACCUGCCCAAAACAAUCCUUUAUGGGACCGUUGAAAAGAAAAGUUGGGUUAAAAAAAGUCCCUUACAUGCACGGUUGCUGUCUCUUCAGCAUCUUCAGUGGGUCUUGUACCUGUCGAGCUGACAAUCAGUGUUAACCAGCAUCCUUAUUAGGAGCCAAGUCUUCCAGCCCUCGGUCUGCGCCUCUCCCAGCCCCUGGAAUUGUGAGAAAUGCAUGUGGGUUGUUUACGUUCUUGGUUGCGGUGUUGGUUGGCUAUGGCAGCUCGGGCAGACGAACGCACUGCUUAUCUACUGUGUCUAUGGCUGUGGCUCCAUUGCGAGAACCUUCUAGGGCCUUCCUUAAACACCAUUGCAGUAAUCUGUGUCUCUCUCGGAUGGUGGGGCUGAGACUAGAGCUGGCUGUGACAAUCACAGGGAUGGGAUUCUUUGACUCCAGGUAGAGUGGUUUGAAAGGUUUGUGCAGACGUCUCCAGGGCAGAGUGCCACACCCAUGGUAGUGGGACGGCUGGUACUGCUUCCUUCUCCACUCACCUCCCACCAGGGAAUCCAGAAGCUUGGUCACACCUGUCCUGAUGGCCGGACUGAUGUUCCACAGCCUGUUAUCCCCAUCCCCUGUCACAGCCCCUUGUGGAGGUGUGUGCCCAUCCCUUCGGGAGUGCGUGGGGAAGGAGUGCUAGGCUUCCCCUGAAAGGAGCCGAGAAACAGAAGCACUUCCUCCCCUUAGGGGAAAGUCAGCAGAGACCCACAGAGAACACGGCUGAUGGGGGUGUUAGAAACAGGACAGCAGGGUUCGGCAAGGACACAGUGGGGACUCACUGGAGCUUGAGAGGGUAGGGUUGGGUGCUGGCAGUUCCUAUUCCAGUGGCCUUGAAAAGCUGGGCGACACCUAUGAAUCUUCCAGAUACCUCAAACAAGUAAACAGCCAGGAGUACAGUUUAUGUCCAGUGAAAUGAGAAUGAAUGUGGAUUUGAAUUUGGUUUAUAGGUGUGCGAGAGUGUCACAUGCACGCAUGUGUCCAUGUGAGUGUGAGUGUGUGUGUGUGUGUGUGUAUGCGUGUAUGCGUGUACCGCAAAUCUGAUUCAUAGUUCCUCCAUGCUUAUUCCAAGCUUCCAAGAAAACACUGGAGGCACACUGAGUCCAAGACUCAGCACAAACUCCUUUCUACCCUCUCUACACCUCUAGUGCCACCAAGUAGACACCACCUCACUCCACUGGGACUCCCAGUAGGCCUCAGUAGCUGGCCCUCUCAGAACAUUGCCCUUUAUUGCUUCUCCCUCUUUGCACAGGCUGCUGAACUCGGCUAGGCCCAGAGCCUCCCCCACUGGGAGCCUUGGAAAGUUCUAUUUAUUCGUCUCAAGUGCACUCAUUGUCUCUUCAGAACUGACCUCUGAUGCUGGACAAGGCAGGGCCCAGCACUGCAUAGCCAUCACUGAUGGACACUGGGCCAAGGGAGGCCAGGGGCCCUCACCUGAGCCUGCCUAAGAACUCCUGGCUCUCUGGUCCCUCAAUGAGAGCCCCAAUCAGGUUUGUGCUGUGCAAGAUGCUGCCCAUUGAAACCCUCGAGUCCACAUUCUACGUAAGGUCUGGUUGGGUUCAUGGUGUAGUUGAUGUAUGUGGGGCUGGUGAGAAGGUGGGAGAAAGCACUGGUCUGGAAAUCUGAGGACCUGAGUUUGUUCUCUAGAACCAACUAUGGAAAAAAACUGAUUCUCAAAGGUUUGUUCCCUUCAAACCUUCAAACCUUCAAACUUGUGUUGUGGCAUGCACACGCGCGCGCACACACACACACACACAUGUAUACACACACACACAUAUAUAUACAUAUACAUAUAUUUUACUUUAUAUAUAUAUAUACAUACAUAUAUUAAAACUAAAUGCAUGUGCAUGGAUCCUAUGCACAAGACAGAUAAACUGGAAGCAGAGAAAUCGACCAGAAAACAUCAGAGGCACCGUUCAAGAAGCAGUCACCAGACUAGCGACAAACCUCCACAGUGACCCCAGUACACGGGGUGGAUCCACAGGGGCUGGAGUUCGAUUUUUGAAAGCGGCGACAUCUGCAAAGCUCUUGAGGAAAGCAAUAGCAGUUUACUUUUGCGUUCUUCCCACUGUGCUCGUACUUAUGGGUGAUAUGUGGUUAGAAUGGGGUCACAGCCCGUGCUAGAGCAACUGGACUAGGAACUGGAGGCAAAAGGCCUCCCACCGUCUCAGGGAAACCCCUGCCUGCCUGCUUCACAGAGUGGAGCAGAAGCAGGAAGCAGACGGGGCACCCCCCCCCCACAUACACACACACACAGUGGGAAAUCCAAAGUCACACUUCUGAGUUCCCAUUCUUAGCCAUUUUGCUCUUGGCAUUUAUUUCUGUCCCUCUGGUUGCUAGAUUUGGGCUUCAUGCCUUGAGGCUGGGAUACCCCUUGACUGUGACAGGGUCAAAGUGUAGCACCCUUUUAGCGUCGGGCUUGUUCUCCUAUUUCCAGUGACUUCCCAGUCCUCCCUUGUUUGAAAUUGCUGACAUCCGUCAGUGUGUUGGGUCCACAGGGAAGCUCUUUCAGCUCAUUAUAUUUGUUGCUGAAACUCUAGGACUUACAAAUGGCUACCGGAGAGGAGACGCCUUGUUGAGUGGAAAUGGUGAGAGAAACCGGAAAUGAAAGAAGAGGGAGCGUCAGCAAUCCUGUUCCGGUCACUCUGCGGUCUGUGACUUAAGCAGCCCUCUCUGGGCAUGGACUUCUUCUUAGAUGGGCUGCUCCAACCUGCCCCAGGGUUCCAAGACAAGCAAGAGGGAGAGUGGAGAGUUGCAGGAAGAGGACCCCAGCCAUUUGCUAUGUACCACAGAGGGACAGCGGGAGCAGGGAUGUUGGAAUCUCACGACUGAUUUGACUUGAGACCUCCCUCACGUUGGCCCCCAGAACUGAAGAGCCUUCUUAUACAAGGACUCUGCUGGGACUGGAGUCUCUGCAGAUCUGGAAAAUCUACAUCAGGGAAAGGAGACAGGGGUCAAAGGGCAGCCCUGCAGAUGGCUGGAGGGUGAAUGAGUGUGGCUAGGAAAACUUGCUGCAUUCCACGGGAAAGUGGGGCUGUGUAACCCAGCAACUCCGUUCCUCUUUAAUAUCACACAGCACCAUCCUCUAUGCCUUUUGUCUCUGGCUUACUUUACGUUCUUAAAUAUGAAAAAGGACCCUAGAUAACUCCUGUACGUGAGCCAAGCUGGUCGAUAUUUGAAUAAAUGUAAAAAACAGUAAA